GCUCUCCCACAACAGCAGUCGCCACGAGACGGAGAGCGGGCAACGGUUAGAUAGACCGGCUGACGGUGCAG
rnacentral:ribozyme from 1 species